UCAGAAAUAAGAACUCUAAACUCACAUCCUGCUGCUUAAUCUGUUUCAAGCCCAUUACACGUAGUAUAAAGUUUGGGGGUUCCUUGUUAAAAAUCAACAAAAUAAAGGAGAUAAUCUUGAAAGGAAUUUCCCUGCGCUAUAACUCUUAAGUGUGGCUAAAGACAGUGUUAACUACUGUACUGCGCAGCUGUUGACCUGGAAAAUACAAGAAAGGGCGUAAUUGACCACAGCUUUACAGUUGUCAAAAAGAGUUUGUGUAUCAAGCAGAUUUCCUACCAGCUGCAUAAAAAAUGAGAGCACAGGCUCCAGAUGCGCAGGCUCAGCAAUUGUGGCUCACGGGCCUAGUUGCUCCGCGGCAUGUGGGAUCUUCCCAGACCAGGGCUCGAACCCGUGUGCCCUGCAUUGGCAGGCGGAUUCUCAACCACUGUGCCACCAGGGAAGCCCCCCUGACAGUCCCCAAAACUAGGUGAGGACAUGGGAAGAAAGAUGAAAAGGAAACUGACAUGCCAGUGUGUACCAUGUGCCAAGAGCUGUACUGACACUUCAAAUCUAAUCUCCAUAAAACUCUGAGGAGGCUACACUGUUCUCAAUUAAUUCUCACGUUAUCGUAGAGGAGACUGGGAUUCCAAGAAACUGUGUAACUUUUCCUACGUUGGUUGAAGAACAGAGUCUGGCAAACAAGAGGAACAAGAAGAAAACUGGAUGUUGGAAAUGGAACAGAUUGGCAUACUCAUGCUGUUGAAUGGGAAAGCAGGCUUGGUAGGUGACAGAUCAAUGUUUUGGGAGACAUAGAAAGCCUUUGUGAGAUGGUAGGUCCAGAUACUCUGUAUCCCUAACCUGAGCUAAGGUCUUUUGUCCAAGUGGUAAAAACAUACCACUGUUGUACUUUGUUCCCUGUAGGUAGGAACAAAAUACACCACCCAAGCUUUAGGCUUUUUGAUUCAGGUCUAGCUGUGGCUAGACCCCAUUAAAUAUUGUGGCCUGUGAUUAUACAAUAAUUAAACACUUCAAAUUGAAAAAUGGAAGAAGUUCCCAUUAGCUAAUAUUAAAGAUUGAAUGUGGGUGAAAUGUGUUGCUUUCUACAGGUUUAUGGACAGAAAACCUCUAAGUGUUUAUUUUAUGUGCCAUUCUUGGCAAGAUCUACAUUUAAAUCAGUGGGUCUUGUGCCUUAAUUCUGGAGUCUCAAAGGUAGUGCUUAGAACAUGCUCCUACCAGCUUGUGAGGACCAAUUGUUAAAUUUUCAGGAGUUUUGCCAUCUGUUUAUUAAAUCCUUGAUUGUUUGAAAUCAACUGUGAUGGCAAUAUUUACAUCUCAAAAUCAGAAAACCCUACAAAUCCAGCCCCUACCCCCUGCUUAGAACUAAUUGUUAAACAUUGUAUCAGUAUACUAGUCUAAAGGUUAUAAAAUGAUUCAACUAUGGUCAUUGGCAUUUACUUGUACUCAAGAGUAUCUUUCUAUGGCUUACAAUCACUGGCCAUAUGACAACUACUGAAAAAAUU